GAUGAACGCUAGCGAUAGGCUUAACACAUGCAAGUCGAGGGGCAGCAUGGUCUUAGCUUGCUAAGACUGAUGGCGACCGGCGCACGGGCGCGUAACGCGUAUGCAACUUGCCUCACAGAGGGGGAUAACCCGUCGAAAGACGGACUAAUACCGCGUACACUUGGGAUAGGGCAUCCUGACCCAAGGAAAUGAAAUUCGCUGUGAGAUAGGCAUGCGUCCCAUUAGCUAGUUGGUGAGGUAACGGCUCACCAAGGCGACGAUGGGUAGGGGAACUGAGAGGUUGAACCCCCACACUGGUACUGAGACACGGACCAGACUCCUACGGGAGGCAGCAGUGAGGAAUAUUGGUCAAUGGGCGAGAGCCUGAACCAGCCAAGUCGCGUGAAGGAUGACUGUCUUAUGGAUUGUAAACUUCUUUUAUACGGGAAUAACAAGAGCCACGUGUGGCUCCCUGCAUGUACCGUAUGAAUAAGCAUCGGCUAACUCCGUG
rnacentral:rRNA from 1 species